GACGGAGGGUGCUAGCGUUGUUCGGAAUUACUGGGCGUAAAGGGCUCGUAGGCGGCCAACUAAGUCAGACGUGAAAUCCCCAGGCUCAACCUGGGAACUGCGUCUGAUACUGGAUGGCUUGAAUCCGGGAGAGGGAUGCAGAAUUCCAGGUGUAGCGGUGAAAUGCGUAGAUAUCUGGAGGAAUACCGGUGGCGAAGGCGGCAUCCUGGACCAACACUGACACUGAGGAGCGAAAGCCAGGGGAGCAAACGGG
rnacentral:rRNA from 1 species